AUGGCGGAGCACGACCUGACGGCGAGCGUGGCGGCGUGGAUGGACCCCCACCUGGUGCUCCCCGUGCUGGAGUUCCUCCAGGAGCGCGGGGUCUACGCCGACGAGGAGAUCCUGCGUGGCAAGAUCCGCCUCCUCGGCGGUACCAACAUGGUCGACUACGCCAUGGACAUCCACAAGUCGCUCCACGGCACCGACGACGUCCCCGCCGACAUGGUCGCCCGGCGCUCCGAGGUCGUCGAGAGGCUCCGGGCCCUCCAGGAGGCCGUCGCGCCCAUCGUCGCCUUCCUCUCCAGCCCGCAGCUCGUGCAGGAGCUCCACGCCGACAAGCAGUACAACCUCCACAUGCUCCAGGAGCGCCACCAGAUCGGCCCGGACCAGAUCGAGGCCCUCUACCAGUACGCCAAGUUCCAGUACGAGUGCGGGAUGUACUCGGACGCCGCCGAUUUCCUGUCCCAGUACCGCGCUCUGUGCACCAACAGCGAGAGGAGCCUCAGCGCCCUGUGGGGGAAGCUGGCGGCGGAGAUACUGAUGCAGAACUGGGAUGUCGCGCAGGAGGAGCUCAACAGGCUCAAGGAGAUGAUUGAUUCCAGCAGCUUCACCUCGUCGCCUGUCAACCAGCUCCACAGCAGGAUAUGGCUGAUGCACUGGAGCCUCUUCAUCUUCUUCAACCAUGAGAAUGGAAGGAACGGGAUCAUCGACCUCUUCUUCCAGGACAGGUACCUCAAUGCUAUCCAGACCAACGCUCCCCAUCUUCUGAGGUACCUUGCUGCUGCAGUUGUUGUCAACAAGAGGAGAAGGAACAUGCUUAAGGAACUCAUCAAGGUCAUCCAGCAGGAGCAGAACAGCUACAAGGAUCCCAUCAUUGAGUUCCUGGAGUGCCUGUAUGUCAAGUAUGAUUUUGAUGGCGCUCAGCAGAAGCUCGUCGAGUGCGAGCAGGUUAUACUGAAUGAUCCUUUCCUGGGGAAGCGCGUCGAAGAGAGGAAUGGCAUUGCUGUUCCUCUGAGAGACGAGUUCCUUGAGAAUGCUCGCUUGUUCAUCUUUGAGACCUACUGCCGUAUACAUCGCUGCAUCGAUAUUGGUGUGCUUGCGGAGAAGCUGAACAUGACCUAUGAUGAAGCCGAGUUGUGGAUAAUGAACAUGGUCAAGAGUUCCAAGCUAGAUGCCAAGAUUGAUUCAGUGACGGGGACUCUCAUCAUGACAACCAAUCGUGUUGAUGUCCAUGAGCAGAUUAUUGAGAGCAUGAAGAACCUCAACGCCAGGACCUACAUGCUGGCAAAGAGUGUCGUGGAUCCAGGGCAUGCAGCAGCACAGCAGGCUGCUCGGUGA
rnacentral:rRNA from 1 species